rnacentral:rRNA from 1 species
UGCCAGACUCCUACGGGAGGCAGCAGUGGGGAAUAUUGCACAAUGGGGGAAACCCUGAUGCAGCGGCGCCGCGUGAGCGAUGAAGUAUUUCGGUAUGUAAAGCUCUAUCAGCAGGGAAGAAGAUGACGGUACCUGACUAAGAAGCCCCGGCUAACUACGUGCCAGCAGCCGCGGUAAUACGUAGGGGGCAAGCGUUAUCCGGAUUUACUGGGUGUAAAGGGAGCGUAGACGGCGAUGCAAGCCAGAUGUGAAAGCCCGGGGCUCAACCCCGGGACUGCAUUUGGAACUGUGUGGCUGGAGUGUCGGAGAGGCAGGCGGAAUUCCUAGUGUAGCGGUGAAAUGCGUAGAUAUUAGGAGGAACACCAGUGGCGAAGGCGGCCUGCUGGACGAUGACUGACGUUGAGGCUCGAAAGCGUGGGGAGCAAACAGGAUUAGAUACCCUUGUA